GAAAUGCGAUAAGUAAUGUGAAUUGCAGAAUUCAGUGAAUCAUCGAAUCUUUGAACGCACCUUGCGCUCCUUGGUAUUCCUUGGAGCAUGCCUGUUUGAGUAUCAUGAAAUCUUCAAAGUAAAUCUUUUGUUAACUCAAUUGGUUUCUACUUUGGUAUUGGAGGUCUUUGCAGCUUCACACCUGCUCCUCUUUGUUCAUUAGCUGGAUCUCAGUGUUAUGCUUGGUUCCACUCGGCGUGAUAGUUAUCUAUCGCUGAGGACACUGUAAAAGGUGGCCAAGGUAAAUGCAGAUGAACCGCUUCUAAUAGUCCAUUGACUUGGACAAUACUUUUAUGAUCUGAUCUCAAAUCAGGUAGGACUACCCGCUGAACUUAAGC
rnacentral:misc_RNA from 1 species